rnacentral:rRNA from 1 species
CAGUCGCCGCGGUAAUACAGAGGGUGCAAGCGUUAAUCGGAAUUACUGGGCGUAAAGCGCGCGUAGGUGGUUUGUUAAGUUGGAUGUGAAAGCCCCGGGCUCAACCUGGGAACUGCAUCCAAAACUGGCAAGCUAGAGUACGGUAGAGGGUGGUGGAAUUUCCUGUGUAGCGGUGAAAUGCGUAGAUAUAGGAAGGAACACCAGUGGCGAAGGCGACCACCUGGACUGAUACUGACACUGAGGUGCGAAAGCGUGGGGAGCAAACAGGAUUAGAGACCCGUGUAGUCCCUGUCUCUUAUAA